AUUGAACGCUGGCGGCAUGCCUUACACAUGCAAGUCGAACGGUAACAGGUCUUCGGAUGCUGACGAGUGGCGAACGGGUGAGUAAUACAUCGGAACGUGCCUAGUAGUGGGGGAUAACUACUCGAAAGAGUGGCUAAUACCGCAUGAGAUCUAUGGAUGAAAGCAGGGGAUCGCAAGACCUUGUGCUACUAGAGCGGCCGAUGGCAGAUUAGGUAGUUGGUGGGAUAAAAGCUUACCAAGCCGACGAUCUGUAGCUGGUCUGAGAGGACGAUCAGCCACACUGGGACUGAGACACGGCACAGACUCCUACGGGAGGCAGCAGUGGGGAAUUUUGGACAAUGGGCGCAAGCCUGAUCCAGCAAUGCCGCGUGCAGGAUGAAGGCCUUCGGGUUGUAAACUGCUUUUGUACGGAACGAAAAGCCCCGGGUUAAUACCCUGGGGUCAUGACGGUACCGUAAGAAUAAGCACCGGCUAACUACGUGCCAGCCGCCGCGGUAA
rnacentral:rRNA from 1 species